UGAGGAAUAUUGCGCAAUGGCCGAAAGGCUGACGCAGCGACGCCGCGUGAAGGAUGAAGUCCGUUAGGACGUAAACUUCUUUUGCAGGGGAUGAACAGUCCGUUUUACGGAUUUGACCGUACCCUGCGAAUAAGGAUCGGCUAACUACGUG
rnacentral:rRNA from 1 species